rnacentral:rRNA from 1 species
CCAGACUCCUACGGGAGGCAGCAGUGGGGAAUAUUGCACAAUGGGGGAAACCCUGAUGCAGCGACGCCGCGUGAGUGAAGAAGUAUUUCGGUAUGUAAAGCUCUAUCAGCAGGGAAGAAAAUGACGGUACCUGACUAAGAAGCCCCGGCUAACUACGUGCCAGCAGCCGCGGUAAUACGUAGGGGGCAAGCGUUAUCCGGAUUUACUGGGUGUAAAGGGAGCGUAGACGGCAUGGCAAGUCAGAUGUGAAAGCCCGGGGCUCAACCCCGGGACUGCAUUUGAAACUGUCAGGCUGGAGUGCAGGAGAGGUAAGUGGAAUUCCUAGUGUAGCGGUGAAAUGCGUAGAUAUUAGGAGGAACACCAGUGGCGAAGGCGGCUUGCUGGACCGUAACUGACGUUGAGGCUCGAAAGCGCGGGGAGCAAACAGGAUUAGAUACCCCAGUA